UAACAAACAGACAAUGGCUUCUCAGCUACCACAAGCACAGCGAACCCGGAGAACGCAAGGGGAUUCCGCAGCGGGUGAUCCCAGUCAUUUAUUCGUGAGAUUCACGCUCAAGACAAAUGACAGAGCCACCGGAAUCUGAUCACUGUACUCGUGAGAUAUACAGAUCCCCAAAUGCACAGCCAAGUCUGAAACUCAGGUGCUGGCCUCCAAAAAGAGCAGCAGCAAGUGUCCUGAACGUGAGGUUAAACAUUUCUGGAGUAAAUACGCGAUGACAAAAGCACUAACAUUGGAGCCAGGAGCACCUUGAAUACACCAGCACCCGAGUGGAGCCGGCAGUCACUCGUCAGCGGCACUAUUUAGGCGGUUCUCACUAAGUCACUAAAUUGUCCAGGUUAAGCUCAAUUGGCAAUCCUCCUGCCUCAGCCUCCCAACGUGCUGGAAUUACAGGCAUGUGGCACCACUGUACCCCACUAGCAAAGUUUUAAAGAGCCUCUUGCAAGGUUCUGAGAAAUGAUGGACUUUGAACAACACUGCUCUAAACCGACUGGCACAGGCCAAUUCAGACCAGUCCUGGGGACUGCAGUUCUAACUGGGCGUUUACUAACGCCCUGCUCUUGAGGCAUGACCAGUCUGAUGAUCCACUUAGUCCUCUUCACCGACGCCGACUCAGGUCUCCUAGCUCGACUUCUCCUUCUGGAUGUUCUGCUGUCACCUUGGCUACUCUGUCAGCAGAGCACGCGAAUCCACGGCAUGAUGGACUGAUACCACGUGCUCAGUUAUCUGAGAUGCGGCACUCAUCUUAUCCGAGAUGAUUACAGUUAUUCUUUACGAAGGCUGUUGGCAGAGAACUUCCCAAGUGCCAGGGACUGUGCUGAAGGAGAUAAUAGCCUACAUGAUUAUUUAUCACAUCAAAGCCUUAAGAGAGCAGAUUUGUUACUUUCCUGAUUUUAUGGGUAAGAAGAUGGAAGCCCAGACACCCCAGCUUGGUCACGGAACGAGAGCGUGGAGAGCCAGGGUUCGUGUCCACUCUCCGAUCUACUUCCCCAGCCCACCGCCCCUAGGAGGGGGUGGGUGCCACUCAACCAGCAAAGGACUCCUGAGCAUCUACUGUGAAGUUAUGAAGUGUUCGAUUCAGCAAAAUGGUAAAAGCUUGGAGAAGGUGCAGCUUGAUAAACCUCAGCUCUUGCAGGAGAAUUUGGGUUGAAUUUAAAUUACCCUAUGUUGGCGGCAUGAAAAUGGACCUUCAGGCUGUCAGGAAGAGCGCUGCAAAGUUCAUGCUGUUGAACUGAAAUAGAAGAGGGGACCUCAUGUGCUUCACGGAUUUUCCUCUGCUGUUCUCUGUGAGGCAUAGAAAGCUGUGUACAAGCAAAGCUGACUGCUGACUUUUGACGAAGGGUCUUAUUAUGCUGCUCUGAGGUUAUCUCUGCCACAGUCAUUUUCAUCAUAACAAUCUUUCCUCCCCUCCCUCUCCUGCUCCCUCCUUUUUCUUUCCGUUUUUCCUGAGCCCUCUUUCUAAGAAACUCAGGAGAGAUGAUGUUGGGCUUUAUCAUUCAAAGGAUUACAACCCCAAAGGCUUAGUUUUACUAGCUGUCAAAAAUAUCAAAGCUACGGGCUGAGGAUUUAGCUCAGCGGCACAGCGCCUGCCUGGCAACUGCAAGGUCAUGAGUUUGAUUCCCGGUACCAGAAAAAAAUAAAAAUAAAAAAAUAAAUAGGUUAAAUAAAAAAAUAGCAAAGCUACUGUUUAAGGAGACUAAUAUUCUUUCAGAAACCGUUCAGGGCUUUGAAUGACAGUUUGAAGACUCUCAAGUAAUUUCUGAGAUUUUCCAAUGCGACAUGGAGCAGCUCUCUCCCUGGGUUGUUUUACACCUGAGAAUCAAAAGGAAGCAUCUUAGGGUGUUUGGCCUGCAGUUUUCAGAUGGACUCCACUGGCAGCUUCCAAGCCUUGCAUAUUAAUGAGCUGAUUUAUUUAUUUAGGUGUGCCAUGCAUUAUAAUAGCUUGAUAACUCCGAGGAACAUUGAAACCAUUUCCAAUAGGCAUUACUUAGAUAUUAAAAAUUCUACCAGAAACAUUUGGUGAUCAGUUCACAUUUCUUUGAAAGGAAUUUAAGCGUAUUUUGAUGACAAUACAGUUCAACCAAAACAGAAGAAAAGUUGGGAUGAAAUUUUAAUACAGUGUGAGACUAUCAGCAAUAUUGUUUACCAGAUCCACAAAUCGAGGAAACUGGGCCUACUGGAAAUUUCAAGGGUCUAUACAGGUUGAGAGUCCAAGUUUUGCACUUUGCUACAAUGCUCCCAUGAAAUGGAACUAGAAUAACUAGGCAAAUUUCCCAGCCAAGGUAGAUUUCAUUUAAUGACAAAUAUAUUCAGGAAACAUGCUCAAGUUUUAUGUAAGCUAUAUAUUAAUUUUCCUGUUUCUGCCUAGUCAUAAUUUUAGUUGAAGAACAAGAGCCCAACAUAUAAAAAUGAUGUUUUCAGGCCGGGUGUGGUGGCGCACACCUGUAAUCCCAGCACUUGGGAGGCUGAGG